GCGUUGGUGGUUCAGUGGUAGAAUUCUAGCUUGCCAUGUUGGAGGCCUGGGUUCGAUUCCCAGCCAAUGAA
rnacentral:tRNA from 1 species